rnacentral:rRNA from 1 species
AACGAACGCUGGCGGCAUGCCUAACACAUGCAAGUCGAACGAGACCUUCGGGUCUAGUGGCGCACGGGUGCGUAACGCGUGGGAACCUGCCCUUAGGUUCGGAAUAACUCCCCGAAAGGGGUGCUAAUACCGGAUAAUGUCUUCGGACCAAAGAUUUAUCGCCUUUGGAUGGGCCCGCGUUGGAUUAGCUAGUUGGUAGGAUAAAAGCCUACCAAGGCGACGAUCCAUAGCUGGUCUGAGAGGAUGAUCAGCCACACUGGGACUGAGACACGGCCCAGACUCCUACGGGAGGCAGCAGUGGGGAAUAUUGGACAAUGGGCGAAAGCCUGAUCCAGCAAUGCCGCGUGAGUGAUGAAGGCCUUAGGGUUGUAAAGCUCUUUUACCCGGGAUGAUAAUGACAGUACCGGAAGAAUAAGCUCCGGCUAACUCCGUG